CCGACCAGAGCACGUAGUCCCGGGGCUGCGGGUCGGACCGGCGGCCGGGGGCGGCCGCCCCCCACCCGGAGGAUUGCAGUGGGAUGGACACGUCCGCCUGCCUGGGCUCCAUGGCCGGGAAUGAAGAUACGGGGAAACAUCAGAUAAGGAGCUAUCUGUGGAUGGGAACGUUUUCCAUGGCACCUCCUGGUCAGGACAAAGUAACGCCCUGUCACCACAAACAUCGUGCUGAAGGUUUUUUUUCUCCUCCCGAGUUUCGCCGACAGGUGGGCUCCGGGGAGCUGUCCAUGGCAGCCUGGACUGGUCACAGGCAGGAAGGAGGGAGGCUUUGCCGGUGAUUGUUUUGGGCUGGGAAAGGGUCAGUUUUUUCCGUAUUGGCUUGUGUGGGGCUGCCCUUUGCAUUUUUCCUGGAAACUUGAUAAAACCGGGAGAAGGAGUAAGGGGAUCUUGGAGCAAUGGCCUUUGUUGGCCUGAGUUCCCAUUGGAUGUGCUGGGUUUGGGCAGGCCAAGCCUGGGGCCGGCCAGGCAGCAGAUUCCAUGGAGGAGGAGCCCGUGCAGCGAGAAGCCCGUGUUUUACAGGAAAAAAGCAGAGCAGAAAAUGAUUCACCAGAGGCUCAUUGCCAGAAAUCCUGCAACAAAUAACCAGUGUGUUUGUGAGUGGGAUUUCUGACAUCUUACAAGUGUAGUGUCUUGCCAGGACGAUGUUCAUGGGGAGAGAAAAAGCCACGGUUUUGUUCCCAUUCUUGUGGGGCCCCAGCCCCGAGGACUGGGCCCUGCCGAGGGUUAGUGCAGAGGGGAAGGGGGAAGCCAGGCCAGCUGCAGAACUGAGGCUUUGCCAGAUGGGCUGGGGCCAGGAUCUUCCAUGUCCCCGCCGGGAUCGCUCCUGGCUCUGCCGGGGCCGGGCAGGGAGUGGCAGCCCCGAGGCGGAGGAUCGGUCCUGCCACUCCUUCCAGCGGGUGACAGGUACCACUGGGGCUUGGUGUGGCUUUCUGCAGCCAGAGUUCCCUCCCCCGUGGGAUGGGGGAGAGAAUCCAGAGCAGAAAUAUGAGGAAACUGCUGGGCUGGGAUGUGUUUGAUAACAAAAGUAACAGCUGCGCGUACCAGCAGAGCGAGACGCGGAAUGCAGUCCCGGUACUUUCUGGCAGCUGUGCCCAGGAAAAUCGGGUUCUAACUGGGAUGGGGGCUGUGAGGAUCCCACAGCAGGAUCCCAGCUCACCUGGCUGCAGGGGGAGAUGUGGAAUCCAGCCCUGCUGGGGCAAUGGGGAAUGGAGCCACAGAACCCACUGGCCCCUUCCCUCUGGGAGCCUCUCCAGCGCUGCUGACCCUGCUCAAUCCCAUUCCAGCUCAUCCUGCUCAAGCCCUUUGCACAUCCCGCCCCACCAAAACCACCUUGCCCUCAGCUCUGCUUGCUGCCGACCCUUCCUGAGGGCUGCUGAGGAUGGGGGUGCUCCUGGUGACAUCCCAGCAAGGAUCACAUUCCACCCUCAUCCUCACCAUGACCUUAUCCAGGUUCAUGAUGUCUGAGGUGGCCCCUGAGCAUUGUUUCUGUGAUGAGGGGCAGUUUCCACUGCCUUGAGGCACAUUCCACGUGCUGACAUUGUUUCCCAUCCUGUCAAGCUGCUGUAGAACAAACCUCAAACCACAUCCUCCAUUAUAUGAAACCAAGACAGGGCAAAAGUGGAAAAAAAACUUUAUUUUCAGGGUUUCUCUGAGCCGGGUGCCCCUUCUCAGAAUUGUUUUGAGGCAGCUGGGGUUCCAUUCCCAGAGCAAAGCAGCAAGCAGGCCCUGGCAGGGUUGGGGGUGCUCAGCUGUUCUGGGGAGCAGAGUCCACUUCAGGACACCUCCAGUGAGGGCAGCCAUCAGCAAGGGCUCCAUAAAAGCUCCGAGUGGGGAGGGAAGAGGGGCAGGGAGGGAAGAGGGGCAGGACAGACAGCAGCAGCUGCCGGGUGAGGCACAUGGAUUGUCAUUUUGCAGUUUCGGUGCAGGAGGGCACUCCCCAGGCAUGCCCGGCUCCAACCCCGGGCGGGGAGGGAAGCAGAGCCCGUGGGGCAAGGAUGGCACUAAGGGCGGCCAUUACCCUUACGGCUGUCGGUAGGCUCUGAAGAUGCUGGGGAGGAC